UUUAGUUAUAAUUGCGUAGAUGAUUGAACGUACUCCCCUCCCAAGUGGUUAAAACUGAUUGCCAGAGUCUAUAAUAUAAUAUAAUUACGCGACACGCCGCCACCCGUUUUGAGCCACGAAGUCUCAAUUGUAUUGUAUAACGACUGUUCCAUUUCUGCCGCAAAAUAGCUCCAAAACCGCUUAAUAUUAUAUGGGUCUAGAGCUUCCUUGAUAGACAAUCUAAAUAUAAUUUUAAAAAAAAAUGGUCGACACGCGGAAGCAGCAGCUGUGUCAAAUUUGUCGCGGGCGACUCCUCACUAUCGGUCGGCAGCGGUAUCUGGCCGCGUUAUCUCGCGGACACCUCAUUGGAGGUCACACGCUGACGUCACGCUGAUAACGAUUUGCGCGGUGACCUUGUGGCACGCCGAAUUUCAAGGUUGCCGCUAUUUGUACUAUCAGAUAGACGUCGCUCGCACCAGCUAGGCAGCGCCCGUACUUUUGUACCAUUUGCGUCACCCGGAAUAGCCACUCAUCCAAUCAUCACUAUUUGCGAAUCAUGGAGGUCAGCCGAGACGGAUGGGGCUACGAUUACACGUGCGCGAGCCUGCUGGUCCGGCAGUUGCAAACACAUUGUACAAUGAAAUAGCCUCGCGGUGUCGCGACGCGACACGUUGCGGAAGCGACGCCUUGCAAAUUAGUAGCACGCUCAAGGACAGAACGGAUAUUUUAUUAAGUACAAUUAACGAUUUAUAUUCAUAAUGGACAUGACUAAUGCUUUUAGGUACUAGAAAAUGAAAUAAAAGCAUCAUUAUAUUAUGAAGUUCUUAAAAAGCGAAAACAUUGUGUUCACAUUGUUUUUUUGUUGUUGUUUGUCAAUCACUGUAAUGUAAUAAGAAACAUAGAGAAUAACAAAAGGUGCCCUAAAAAAAUUAAAACACGUAUAAAUUUUAACGAAACUGAUUAUUUGUUUUCCGGUUUUAUUACGUAUUCAAUAAAGGAGUCGCAAAUAAGUGUGAUAUCUAAUAUUACGUAUACGGAUGUGUGCAGAUUCAUACAAGCAAACACACAAUGUGUUUUUCACAAAUGUUUUUACACAUAAGAAACAGCGUUAUAGCAGCGCUAAUCAGAUAUUCGAAUUUAUUAACGUGAGGCCGACGUGGUAUUAGGAAAUAAUGGAUGGAUUUUUUUCGGGAUAGAGGAAUUGUUGGUGGCCCGGAGGUCUUUCCAGCUCCACAGUCGGCGAGCACAGCUUCACUCAAGAGGGAUGAGGUAUACUACAAGCUGCCUCUUAUUGAGAUAGCUGCUUCGCGAAUGCAUCGGCUACCUAAUCAAUAUCUUGACCCGCUGAGAAGUUAUGACAAUGGCCUUUAGAGACGCGACCCCGUCUCGACCUUGUCGCGACCUUCCGCCAGCCCCCCGCAAUACCUUUCUCCCUCCUAGAGCAAGUAACCUACGUAAGUUCACAUCGGGAUGGCUUUUUGACUAACCUUCAUUUUGUAAUUCAGAGAUUGUAGAUGAAAAGUAUUUAUAUUCCUUAUGUUAUGAGAUAGAUAAGAUUAUUAUCUAAUGCUGAGAAAACAUCUAGUUUUUACGUUGUUAGUUUUUUAUAGGUUGAAUUUGAAACAAAUAUUGAAUAUACAUAUCCUGUUUA